rnacentral:rRNA from 1 species
AUUGAACGCUGGCGGCAUGCUUUACACAUGCAAGUCGAACGGUAACAGGGAGCUUGCUCCGCUGACGAGUGGCGAACGGGUGAGUAAUGCGUCGGAACGUGCCGAGUAGUGGGGGAUAACGCAUCGAAAGGUGUGCUAAUACCGCAUACGAACUGAGGUUGAAAGUGGGGGACCUUCGGGCCUCACGCUAUUCGAGCGGCCGACGUCUGAUUAGCUAGUUGGUGAGGUAAAGGCUCACCAAGGCGACGAUCAGUAGCGGGUCUGAGAGGAUGAUCCGCCACACUGGGACUGAGACACGGCCCAGACUCCUACGGGAGGCAGCAGUGGGGAAUUUUGGACAAUGGGCGCAAGCCUGAUCCAGCCAUGCCGCGUGUCUGAAGAAGGCCUUCGGGUUGUAAAGGACUUUUGUCCGGGAGCAAAUGCUGGUGGCUAACAUCCACCGGAGCUGAGAGUACCGGAAGAAUAAGCACCGGCUAACUACGUGCCAGCCGCCGCCGUAACAC